GUGCACCAGGCGAGAAACCUUCACAAUGCACGAAAGUGUGAUGAGGGUACUCCGAGUGCGCAUACAUUGUAUGUGCUUUUCUGCAGCGUAAAUAGUUGCAGGAAUAAGGGCUGGGCAAGACCGGUGCCAGCCGCCGCGGUAACACCGGCAGCCCUAGUGGUGGCCGCUUUUAUUGGGCCUAAAGCGUCCGUAGCCGGACAGGCGAGUCUUUGGGUAAAUCCUACGUCUUAAGCGUGGGAAUUCUAAAGAUACUACCUGUCUUGAGGCCGGGAGAGGCUGGAGGUACUCCUGGGGUAGGGGUAAAAUCCUAUAAUCCUGGGGGGACCACCGAUGGCGAAGGCAUCCAGCUGGAACGGGCCUGACGGUGAGGGACGAAACCCAGGGGAGCGAGCCGGAUUAGAUACCCAUGUAGUCC
rnacentral:rRNA from 1 species